rnacentral:rRNA from 1 species
UCCGCCUAUCUCCCAGUAUUAAAUUUUUACGUUUAAUGUUAAUUAUUGUAACUAACUGACACUUAUAAAUAUCUGCACCUUGAUCUAGCAUUUCUAAAUACCAUUAUUCCAUAUAAAGAUUACCUAAAUAACGGUGUACUUAAAUUAAAUAAGAAAAAUAGAGCCUCAUCUAUUAAGCGCAAGUUCCCCUAAUUAAUACGAGCCGC